GGGAAUUGAGAGUAAUGGCCAAAAUGCCCUUAAGAUGUUUAAAAGCUUAGUUUUAAGUGGGAGGGCAAUAUGUUCUUUUGGUGUUUAGAAUCAGAGAUAAGGGUCAUGCUGCUUUAUUCCUUAGUGGAUUAUGUAGAAAGUUUUAGAAGACUGAAAAAAGGAAAAGAAAAGAAAAAGGAAAAGAAAAGAAGGAGAAAGGAAAGAAGGGAAAAGCAGGGCACUACUCUCUUGUACGGUUUUGGCUUUUCUUCACCAAUUUUUCUGGAAAUUUGGAGCUAAAAUUCAGAGAAGGCUUAGGCUAAGACUCAACACUAGGGUCCUUGAUUUUUCUUGGGGAAUUGGCAGAGGUUAUUCAUCCAUUUGAGGGGAUUAAGCCUAAGGAUUUGAGGAGGUGAAGGCUAAGGAAGUGUGGAAGAUAACCUAGGUCAAAUUCAUCUAUCAAAGGUAAAGGCAAGGGCAAGGUGGAUCAGUCCUGAGAUGGAGAACUUUGGGGCUGAAUGUACAUUGUCAGCUGAUUGGCCGCCACGACCGAGGAGUGGUACAGGACGAGAAAAACCUAAUUGUCUGUUUUGCCCUUAGAGUGGCUAGCAACUGUACUUUUAUCCUGAAAUUUUGUAAAGAGUCUUUUAACGCUACUACCUUUGGGAUCCCAUGUAAAAAUGUUUGGUUAUAAGAAACGAAACUUUUGAGACCGAGAUUUUUUAACCCUAGUUCAACUUUAGUUUCUGAAACACGUUUCUAACUAAACGGCUUGAUUAGCAAGUCUUACACAUUUGUAAACACACAGUGUAACGGUCUUGGCUAUCCAUGGCGAUACAUUUUAUCAAUGCACUUUGUUAUAUUAUAACCUA